rnacentral:rRNA from 1 species
GACGAACGCUGGCGGCGUGCUUAACACAUGCAAGUCGAACGAUGAAGCUGGAGCUUGCUCCGGUGGAUUAGUGGCGAACGGGUGAGUAACACGUGAGCAAUCUGCCCUUGACUCUGGAAUAACUGCGGGAAACUGUAGCUAAUACCGGAUACUUUCACCGGAAGGUAUCUUCUGGUGAAGAAAGAAUUUCGGUCAAGGAUGAGCUCGCGGCCUAUCAGCUUGUUGGUGAGGUAACGGCUCACCAAGGCGACGACGGGUAGCCGGCCUGAGAGGGUGACCGGCCACACUGGGACUGAGACACGGCCCAGACUCCUACGGGAGGCAGCAGUGGGGAAUAUUGCACAAUGGGCGCAAGCCUGAUGCAGCAACGCCGCGUGAGGGAUGAAGGCCUUCGGGUUGUAAACCUCUUUUAGCAGGGAAGAAGCGAAAGUGACGGUACCUGCAGAAAAAGCACCGGCUAACUACGUGCCAGCCGCCGCAGUAA